CGUCGGUGCCUCCGCGACGAUAGCUUGCAAACUCCGCCAGGCCCGGAAGGGAGCAACGGUAGCAAGGGACUCGGGCGCCGGAGUGUUGCUGGCGGGG
rnacentral:SRP_RNA from 1 species